AUGAAUUUUCUCUAUCAAAUAGUUUUAUUGUGCUCUUUGUUGUAGUUUCCAUGGAAAUAUGAAGUAUUAAUUUUGGUGUGACAUACAUAAUCUAGCACUCAGUAACUCAACAUAUUGUAUAGAACAUCAGGUACACCUUCCUGCUGGUACAGCAGCAACCUUUGAGUGCGCAGCUUAUUGCUAAAGCUGAGAGUUCAAUGCAAGAACAUGAAUAGAGUAUGAAUAUAAACAUGAAGCCUCACAGGAUGAUAUAAAGAUGAAGACUUAGAGCAAGGAUAAGCAAUCAGUGGAUGAAAACACAAAGAUACUGAAAUAUUUGCCACCAUUCAAAUAUUAGCUAAUGCAGAACACACUUGAUAAAGCAUUUUGAUUCUCACUUUACAACAAUUAAAGGCAUUGUAACUGAAGAAUAUAUUUAUUUAACUGAUAAAGCAACUAGGAGUAAACUUGUCUUUCUGCCUUUAAUAGUUUUUAUUUUAUGUUUUUCGUUGUUCAUCAAUAGAGUUCUACCACCUACAGUUCUAAUUUUUAUAUCUGCAACAAGCUGUGCACUGCAGAUCUGCACAUGCAACAGCGUGCAGCAAUUUCUUAAGUUUUGCAGCUUUCUGAAUCAAAAUCACUGUUUUUAAUUUGAAGUUAUUUAAAUCUUCACCCUUUCAGAUAUUUUCAUUCUGUAUUCCCCAAAAAGAAGGGAAACAAGAAACCAGCACAAGAGCUGAGAAGAUCAGAAGUUCUCUCAUUACUAACAAACCUAGAGGGAAUUCCGACAAAGGCAAAAGAGGAACAACAGCAUAAAUCCAUGAAAUCUAUCAAGUAAAAGGCAUGGAUUGAAUAACUUGCAACACCAUCAUGCACACAGACUAUACAGCUACAGAAGAGUCAAAAGAUCAUAAAUACCUUAAGGCGAUUAAGAUCUUCAGUGUGUUUAUUAAAGGUAGUCAUCACAGGCACUGGCACUCAGGCAUGUAUUUGGACACAUUAAAAGACUGACUUGCAGGGAAGAUCCAUCUCCAGUUUAAUCUCAAGGGUUACUUGCUGAUCUCAGCAGUGCCUACAAAUAGCUUUCACUACUUUGUAAAAGAAUGUUCGUCAUUUGAAAUUGUGUCACUCUGGGCAUUAAUAUCUCGUGACAAAGAGCACACAAAUCAUUUGGUACGCACAAAAUGGGGUGAAAUAGUUGUAAAGUUACUCAAAA
rnacentral:lncRNA from 1 species